AAUCAACGCUGGCGGCGUGCCUAACACAUGCAAGUCGAACGCGAAGCCCCGCAAGGGGUAAGUAGAGUGGCAAACGGGUGAGUAACACGUGGGUGACCUGCCUUCGAGUGGGGAUAACGUCCCGAAAGGGACGCUAAUACCGCAUGACAUCCUGCUUUUUAAGAGGUGGAGAUCAAAGCCGGGGAUCGCAAGACCUGGCGCUUGAAGAGGGGCCCGCGCCUGAUUAGCUAGUUGGUGGGGAAUGGCUCACCAAGGCAACGAUCAGUAUCCGGCCUGAGAGGGGCGGACGGACACACUGGGACUGAGACACGGCCCAGACUCCUACGGGAGCAGCAGUGGGAAUCUUGCGCAAUGCGCGAAAGCCGUGACGCAGCAACGCCGCGUGGGGGAAGAAUGCCUUCGGGUU
rnacentral:rRNA from 1 species